UUCUGAGUGAGUGUCCCACAUGUGUUUCAGUCAGCCUCAGUCGGAGUCCAGCCGCUGACGGGGAAAGACGUGCAAAAGUUUCUCCUGCACAUGUGUUCGUAUUGUGUGUGUGAAAGGAGAGGAAAGCGUGGAGAGAGUUUCUGAUUGAGUGUCCCACAUGUGUUUCAGGGACCAAUAAAUAGAUGACGCAAAGCUG